rnacentral:tRNA from 1 species
ACUUGGGUGGCUCAGUCGGUUAAGCAUCUGACUUUGGCUCAGGUCAUGAUCUCACGGUUCGUGGGUUCAAGCCCCACGUCGGGCU